UUGUACCUCAACUGCAGAAAAAGU
rnacentral:siRNA from 1 species